rnacentral:ncRNA from 1 species
AAAAUUUAGGCCCAUUUGCUAGGCUCAAGCUUAGCCCAAAAAGUGGGCCCAAAAUUUUACCCAAGCUAAAGAAUUGAUAGGGGCCCACACAAGCAGUGGAGCAUAUUGUUUAAUUAGAUGCAAAAUGAAAAACUUUACCAGGGCUUGACAUGCCAAAAAUCCUCUUGAAAGAGAGGGGUUUCUUCGGGAACAUGAACAUAGAUGGUGCAUGGCUAUCGUCAGCUCAUGCCGUAAGGUGUUGGGUUAAGUCCCACAACAAGUACAACCCUCAUGUUUAAUUACCACCGUUGAGUUUGGAACCCUGAGUAGACUGUCGAUGAUAUGCCGGUGCUAAACCGGAGGAAGGUGAGGAUGACGUCAAGUCAUCAUGCCCUUUAUGCCAUGGGCGACAAAUGUGCUACAAUAGAUGAGACAAGGGGUCGCAAUCCCGUGAUGAUGAGCUAACUCUAAAAGCCCAUUCUCAGUUUGGAUUGUAGGCUGCAACUUGCCUGCAUGAAGCCAUAAUCACUAGUAAUCGUUGGUCAACCAUAUGGUGCUGAAUUUUGUUCUCGAGCCUUGUACACGCCGCCCGUCACACUAUGGGAGCUGGCCAUACCCAAAGUCAUUACCUUAACCGCAAGGAGAGGGAUGCCGAAGACAGGGUUAGUGACUAGAGUGAAGUUGUAACAAGGCAUUAGUACUGGAAGGUGCAGCUGGAUCACUUUCUUU